rnacentral:rRNA from 1 species
GGCUCGGGAUGAACGCUAGCUACAGGCUUAACACAUGCAAGUCGAGGGGAAACGAUAGAGAAAGCUUGCUUUUUCUAGGCGUCGACCGGCGCACGGGUGAGUAACGCGUAUCCAACCUGCCCACCACUUGGGGAUAACCUUGCGAAAGUAAGACUAAUACCCAAUGACGUCCAUAGAAGACAUCUGAAAUGGAUUAAAGAUUUAUCGGUGAUGGAUGGGGAUGCGUCUGAUUAGCUUGUUGGCGGGGUAACGGCCCACCAAGGCGACGAUCAGUAGGGGUUCUGAGAGGAAGGUCCCCCACAUUGGAACUGAGACACGGUCCAAACUCCUACGGGAGGCAGCAGUGAGGAAUAUUGGUCAAUGGGCGAGAGCCUGAACCAGCCAAGUAGCGUGCAGGAUGACGGCCCUAUGGGUUGUAAACUGCUUUUAUAAGGGAAUAAAGUGAGUCUCGUGAGACUUUUUGCAUGUACCUUAUGAAUAAGGACCGGCUAAUUCCGUGCCAGCAGCCGCGGUAAUACGGAAGGUCCGGGCGUUAUCCGGAUUUAUUGGGUUUAAAGGGAGCGUAGGCCGGAGAUUAAGCGUGUUGUGAAAUGUAGAUGCUCAACAUCUGCACUGCAGCGCGAACUGGUUUCCUUGAGUACGCACAAAGUGGGCGGAAUUCGUGGUGUAGCGGUGAAAUGCUUAGAUAUCACGAAGAACUCCGAUUGCGAAGGCAGCUCACUGGAGCGCAACUGACGCUGAAGCUCGAAAGUGCGGGUAUCGAACAGGAUUAGAUACCCUGGUAGUCCGCACGGUAAACGAUGGAUGCCCGCUGUUGGCCUGAAUAGGUCAGCGGCCAAGCGAAAGCAUUAAGCAUCCCACCUGGGGAGUACGCCGGCAACGGUGAAACUCAAAGG